rnacentral:lncRNA from 1 species
AUGUAUGCCAUUCUUACGAACAAUAAGAAGCAAAAUUCCAGGCGAAUGGGAACUUCCAUCAAGAAGAAUUUGCAGCUUGCAAUGGAGAUGUAUCAAUUGGUGAGGACCAGCUCGGAUCCUUCAGGUGAGGACCAGCUCGAAUCCCUGAAGGAUCCGAGCUGAAUCCCUAUUUACUUAAGUUACAAAACAUUGCUAAAAUAAAUUGUAAUGGUAGAAUUAAUCUC